rnacentral:snRNA from 1 species
UGGACAAUUUUAUUACAUCCA